GGAAUUGUUCGCAAUGGGCGCAAGCCUGACGACGCAACGCCGCGUGGAGGAUGAAGGUCUUCGGAUUGUAAACUCCUGUUGACAGGGACGAAUGGGUCUCGACCUAAUACGUCGGGGCAAUGACGGUACCGGUUGAGGAAGCCACGGCUAACUCUGUGCCCGCAGCCGCGGUAAUACAGAGGUGGCAGUGGUUGUUCGGAAUUACUGGGCGUAAAGGGCGCGUAGGCGGCCGUUUAAGUCAGACGUGAAAUCCCCAGGCUUAACUUGGGAACUGCGUCUGAUACUGGAAGGCUCGAGUGCGGGAGAGGGAUGUGGAAUUCCAGGUGUAGCGGUGAAAUGCGUAGAUAUCUGGAGGAACACCGGUGGCGAAGGCGGCAUCCUGGACCGACACUGACGCUGAGGCGCGAAAGCUGGGGGAGCAAAC
rnacentral:rRNA from 1 species